AUCAGGUAGUCGGCACUCUAAUAUCAUCACUGGUACACCUCGGAACUGCUUGGUGGCUAAUGGACACAGUACCCAACAUAUGUGACAGGUCAGUGCUGCCCUCGGGCAGCCCGUGGACCUGCCCGGGCGACCAUGUAUUCUACGACGCCUCUGUUAUAUGGGGUUUGAUCGGGCCCGAAAGAAUAUUCGGAGACCUGGGUUACUACUCCGCCAUAAAUUGGUCUUUUUUGCUGGGGGCGGUGGCCCCCGUUCUUGUGUGGCUCGCACACAAGGCGUUCCCAAACCAGCAGUGGAUUAGGCUAAUUACGGUGCCUGUGCUUUUGGUGUCGAUAAUAAACAUGCCACCGGCAACUACGGUGAACUACAAUAGUUGGAUAAUCAUAGGUUUCUUGUCGGGUUACGUGGCGUAUAGAUACUAUCGGGAUUGGUGGAGCAGGCACAAUUAUGUGCUAUCGGGUGCGCUUGAUGCUGGAUUGGCAUUCAUGGGAGUGCUGCUUUAUCUGUGCUUGGAUAUGGCGCAUGUUAGCCUUGAGUGGUGGGGGAGUGUUAGUGAUGGUUGCCCUUUGGCUACUUGCCCUACUGCUAAGGGUAUUGUUGUCAAAGGGUGCCCCAUUUUUUGACUUGUUUUUAAGUAGAUAUUGUUAGUUGAUGUUUGAUGUAUUGUAUUUGUAAAAUAUGAUAUUGGUUUUUCAUAAUUAGAAAAGUGUAUGUGCUUUGUGAUGCUCUCAUUACCCGAUUCAUUUCCAAAUUGUUAGUUGAAAAUUCUCAAUUUUGCUGAUGUGUAUGAUUUGACUACUACAGUAAAAAAAAUCUCAAAUAAAAUACGAAGUAUGUAUAUAUGUAUUUUAUUUCAAUUUCGUUUUUUACACUUCAUUAAUAUUAGUAUUUCCGGGCAUGGUUGUACGAUCGAAGUGACUUUCUUGGGUUAUGAGAUUUUCGGCGUAAUAACAAAUCACAAGCCAAUGUUUGAAAUGGUUUUGGAAGUUAUUUUUAUUUUUAUUUGGGUAAAUUACAAACACCCCCUUGAGGUAUGGUCAAAUUACAAAAAUCUCCCUCUUGUUUGGAUAAUUACAUCUACCCCCUCAACUAUGAUUUUUUCUUAGACCUCCACCUUUAUGGUGCCAAAUUCAACAUAUUCAUCUAGAUUCCGUGAAAUGUGCUCUAGUUUGUACUCGUUUUGUGUAAAAAAUACAGUUUCCGAUGCACCACAAACUGAUAUAUACAAGCUUAAAAUCACAUAUUAUGAUCAUCUUGCUUCAUAAUGUAGAGUUUGAAUAGGAUAAAACGGGUACAAAAGUGAUAAUAUUCCAUAUAAUCUCGAAGAUUCCACUAAAUUUGAGGAGUUGAGGGGGUGGUUGUAAUUAUCCAAACAAGAGGGGUGUUUUUGUAAUUUUACCAUACCUCAGGGGGGUGUUUGUAAUUUACCCUUUUUAUUUUGGGGAAAUAUAUUUUGAGAGAAUAAUUUGAGAAUAAAAGUAAUGUUUGAUUAUGGUUAUUAAAAAUUCACGAUAUACGAUUCAUCUUAGGAUUUUGUUCUUUAAAUUCACGACGGCGAUGAUGAUGAUGAUGAUGAUGAUGAUGAUAAAAUACACUUUACCCCCUUGUACUAUACACUAUAUAACACUUACCCCGCGUACUUUGAAAAAUACACUUACCCCCUCAACUUAACGAUUAACCUAUUUUAUUACUAACAGUGUCAGUUGUAACAAAAUAAUUAUAAUUUUAUCAUCAAAUUAAAUGUACUUUUUAAUAGUGGAUAAGAAAUGACACCUUGCUUUCAUUAAAAAAUAUAUAUUUUUGCAUUGUGAAUGAUAUAUUAAAUAAAUGUUUAACAUGUAUAAUUUUUUAAAUAUUGGAUUAAAAUAUUGACUGAGUAAAUAUUUAUAUUAAAAAUUGUAAUUCUACAUUAACAUUAAUGAUAUAUGUUAAUGUUUUAUUGUAUUUAUUUGUAACAUCAAAAUUUAUUUGUAACAUAAAAAUUUAUUUAAUUUGAUUUUACAAAUAAAUAGUAUUUUUAAUGUGCAUGUUUGAAGAGUUAAAUAAUUUCAUUUAUUAUAUGAAAAAUUAUACUCUCUAAAUAUUUUUAAUUUAAAUAUUUAACUAGUAAAUUAUUUUUAAUCCAAAAAAAAAUACUAUCUUAAAUAUUUAUUUAAUUUAUUAGAGUACAUGUAAUAUUUUUUAAGGAGAUUUUGUGCAUAAGUCUCUAACCAAGCAUCUUUAUUAUUCUAGGUUUAGGGGCUAUAUCUCUUUCAUCAAUAAACCCAGCCCUUUAAUAUUUAUUAUAAUUUAUAAAUAAAGGAAAUAUUCAUGUAUAUGACAAUUUUACCCCCAACCUUUAUACCCAAUUCUUAAUUGUAACCCCAAUUUAAUCAGUUUCGUACACAAAAAUCCAAUUUUGACCACAAAAUCUAAUUUUGAUUUUUUUUUUCUUCCGGAUUUUUUUGCCGGUUUCCGGCGUUGAUUUUUUUUAGUGUUUUUUUUUGUUUUGUUUUGUUUUUUUUUUUUACGUCCGCCGUUAAACGUUGAACGUAAUUGUGCUGUCACUGACAGUAAAUUAACGUAAUUAUACUGUCAAUGACAGUUAAUCAAUGUAAUUGUAACUGCCGUUGACAAUACAUUUAUGUAAUUGCUCUGCCGUUGAAAGUAAAUUAAUGUAAUAUUAUUAUUUUUUAUUUUUUGUUAUUCUUUUGUAUUUUGUUUGAUUUGUUGACAAGGCAACGUAAUUAUAUUACUGUCGUUGAUAGUAAAAUACUGUAAACACAAUAAUAUUACUGUCAACAACAUCAUUUUUAUUAUUUUUUUGGGUUAUUUGUUUUGUUUGAGUUAUUCACGGAGUAACGUAAUAAUAUUACUGUCUAUUAUUGCAAUAUUACUGUAAACACACAAUAAUAUUACUGUGGUUGACGGUAAUAUUACUGUUGUUAUAGUAAUAUUGUUGUCAACCAUAUCAAUAUUAUUAUUAUUUUGUUUGGAUUUUUUUGUUUGUUUGAGUUAUUCACCGAGUAACGUAAUAAUAUUACUGUCUAUUAUUGUAAUAUUACUGUGGUUGACGGUAAUAUUCCUGUUGUUAUAGUAAUAUUACUGUCACUCAUUGUAAUAUUAAUUGUUUUGACUUUUUAUUAUGUCUACAUUUGUUGAACGGUCAACAUAGUAAUAUUACUUUAUUACACAAUAAUAAUGAGUUUUGUUGUGUUAAUAUUAUUGUGCUAGAGAUUAAUAUAGUAAUAUUAUUGUGUUAAACUGUAGUAUAGUUAAUUUUACUGUGUUUGUAUGUAAUAUAGUUAAUAUUACUGUCAAUCACAGCAAUAUUCCUGUUUAAACGAAAAAAAAAAGUUAACCGCGGAGACCGGCGCCGGUCUCCGCCAGAAACCGGCGAAAAAAUCCGGAAGCAAAAAAAAAAGUCAACGCCGAAACCGGAGAAAAAAUCCAGUAGAAAAAAAAAGUCAACGCCGGAGACCGGUUAACGUUUGUGACGGACGAAUUUGUCCAUAAAAAUGUGUUUUGAGCUAUGGUGCACGGACACGGAUACGUGGACACGGUGAUACGCGGAUACGGACACGGUGAUACGGCAUUUCCAAAAAAAUAGGAUACGGACACGUGGGGGAUACGUGUAAAUAUAAAAAAUGUAGGGGUAUAUUUAUAAAUAAUAAAAAUAUAGGGGUACAUUUAUAAAUUGUAAAAAAUAUGUAUAAGUCGUCAUCGCAUAAGAGAACCACUCGCCCUUGUUGCUCGUGUUCUUGAUCACCGUCGCAUGCUAGACUUUUGGAGUUUUUGGUGGACUCACAAAGAAAACAAAGGAAAUGUGUAUUACAUGCAGAGAAAAGAAAAUGCGCAUUUUUUUUAUUAGAGCUCUCCUUCACAACGUAAGAGAAGUGUCCCAACUUUUUUAAAAUUGUGGACACUGGCCGAUACGGGUGCCCUACUUUUAGCGAAAUUACGACACGGCCCGACACGGGUGUCCGAGAAGUGUCCGGGAGUGUCUGAGUGUCCAGGUAUCGGAUACGGGGACUCUUCCCCUUCUAGAAGUGUCCGUGCAGCAUAGGUUUUGAGCCAAAAUUGAAUAAUUUGUAAAAUUUGGGGUUAAAUUGAGGUUAAAUUAAAUAAAGUAUGAGGGGCUAUUUUAGUCUUUUACAAAAAUCUAGACCAUGUGUGGACUUAUUUGUAAAGGAGUUUUUUUAUCUGGAUCUCUUUAUGAAUAAGUACCAAUUGAUGGACUUAUUUGUAAAGACCCUAUUUUUUAAAUAAAUAAAAUGUGCCAUUUAGUAAAGAUUAUUAAAAAAAAUAUUAAAUUAUUUUACUGCUAACAUCGUUAAGAGUCAAAUAGAUUAACCAUUAAAUUGAGCAAUAAGUGUAUUUUUCAUAGGAUUAGGGGUCAAUGUUACACAGGGCAUAUUACAAAGGGGUAAAGUACAUUUUACCCUAAUAAUAAUUGUAAAUAUAUAAAUGUUAAACUAAGGAACUAUUUUGGAAAGAGUUUAAUAGUUGUUUUCACCGAUAAAUAUUCUAGAAUCUAGCUCAUAUGUUUUAGGAGAGUUUUAACAGACUUUUUUUCAACAAUUAGAUAUUUUAGAUCUCCAUAGUCCAUUUAAUGAAAUGAAUGAUACAAAUAGAUGGAAAAUAUUUGUCUUUUAACACAUAACUCAUUUUGACAUAAUAAUAAUUCAUACAUUUUAGUUGUUAAUUUAUGUUAGAUAUAGUUUUAAAAUAAAAAUAAGAAUUUUCCUCUCUUGUGAGAUAAAGGCUUCGCGUAAUCCAUUGAUGUACACCUAAAAGUCCAAUAAUCAGUAUCAAUCAACAUCAAUCAAAGUAGUAGCAUUCAGGAAUCACCUUCAAAAAAUCAAAAAAGAAAUUCACUCGAUUAUACUUGAUCAAAAAUUUUGCUCCUAUGGCCCAACAAGUGAACUCUACUACAACAAAAAUCCUUAUUCAUAGCGUUUGAAAAACGCUAUUAUAGGAUUCCAUAGCGUUUCUACAAACGCUACGUCUGCCCGAGCUAUAAUAGAUCUCGGUUCUUUUAUAGCGUUUAUCAAAGGCUAUUGUAGGCGUUUCUAAAUGAUAUUGUAGUGUUACUUUCGAUAGCAUUUUUUCUUUGCUAUUGUAUGUGUUCUUACAACAGUAAUCAACUGCUAUCAUACCUCUUUCAUAGCAUUAUUAAAUUGUUAUUGCAGUUUUAAACGCUAUUGAAUUACCAAUGAAAUGGGUGUUAAAUAUCACUGAUAGCAUUUAAAAAUGCUACUGUAUCAAUUUUUCACUAUUUACUGCAACAAUCAUGUAAAAUACGAAAUGAAUAUUAAAAAAAUGUUACAAAAUAAAUCAUUUGUAUUAGUAUUUGAACCCAAUUGACAAAACAAUACAAAAAUUGGCUGUCUUCAAGGACUACUUAAACUAGAUUGAGUAGAAAAUUGCUAAAUUUGACAAUGUCUUAGAAACUCGGUGAAGGAAAAUCUAUUACUAAUUUGAAGCAUUGCAUCUCAAAUCCGUAUUUGUACUUCUUCACCAUCCUUACUUGACCUGUCCUGAAAAAAAAGAUACAAAAUUUAGACUUUAAGUUACCAAAAAUAAAAUAAUGAGUAUAAAAUUAUGUACUUCCAUGUUUUAAAUAUUUUAGCACCUAUGUUCGUCAUCAAUUUCAGACCAGUUCUUUGGAUGGAGAAUCAUUAGCCUCAAUUUUUGACUUAAAUUGCAUCAGACAUCUAAUAGUUGUUUAUCUCUACCAAAUCUCUAUACGACCGGAAAAAAGAAGUAAUCAAGCAUUAAAAUUUAUGGGGAUUACCUACCACCUCAAUCGCCUAAAGUACCAUGUCCUCAGUUAUAAUGUUACAUACAACAUCCAAUACCUGAAUACAUAAAAACUUCUUGAAUACAUAAGCAUAUCUGUUUUUAGUAUAUAUAUUAUAUCACCGAUGAAAACCUGCAAAAAGAAUCUUAUAAAUUAGUUGAUUAACCACAAUAUAGAAAAUAUGGAUAUAAUUUAAUUUGGACAAAAGAAUCACUACAAGAAAAAAAAUCAUCAACGUACAAAAUCAAUGUAAGUACCUUGUGACCCUUUGUCCUCUCUCUUGAUAAAAAUUGUCCUAGAUGCUCCGUCAAGAUAUUUAAGGCUGUGACAUAUAAAAUGAUAAGUAUAUAGUAUGCAAUCUCUUAAAUAGGUUAAACCCAAUAGUAUAUUUUCAGAGUAUCGAAAUAAAAAAAAUACUAAAUCGUUUAAGAUGAACAAUAAUCCAAACAAAUUCAAAAUACUAAAUCUUUCAGUAUAAACAAUAAACCAAAUAAAUUCAAAAUACUAAAUCAUAAAGUAUUAUAUGUGAACAUCUGCAAUUGCGACUACAAACUCACUAGUAGUGCAAAUAAUCUGUUAGGUAUAUGUAUAUAUACACGUCAUAGAGAGAGCAGGAGGAACAAGUUUAAGAAAGAAAUCAAUGUUACCAGUCCGGAAUGAAGAAACUCUACACACCAAGACAUAAAGAAUCGUCCCAACACCUCAUAUAUCUGUCUAGCCAUUAAUGUCAAAUGAGCGUUGCUUGAAUAUGUAGUAAGAGGUUCCCAAAACUUUAGAAAACUUCACACCCAGAAUCAUAUAAAUAGACGAGCUAAUAGCACAGAACCCCCUGUGUAAUUUCAAAUUGCCAAAAAAAACCUUAUGUUAAAAAAAUUAGCAAUAAACCCCCUAUGUUGUGUUUUGUAUAGCAUACUGCCCAUUAUACGAGAUUUUGGUAUUGACUUAACUGAAAAGACAAAAUUACCCCUACCCUAAAAUAGAAUAAAGUGCCUCCCACACUUAAAAUUGUGAAUGAAAAGUCAAACCCCAAUUCAUCUUCCUCUCUCACACUUUCACACGUGGCCGGUUCAGGCUCACCAUACAUACAAAUUACAAACUAGUCACGUGGAAAAGAACAAAACAUACAUAUAAUAACAUCAAAAAAUAAUUAAAAAAGAAAAAGAAAAAGGCACAAAAUAAACCAUAGUAAUGGAAGAGAAGAGGAUUAACAGAAAAAAAAAUGGAAGAGAACGAGGCAUCAUAUUAAUAGAUAGUAUCUAACUUGGUGAUUGAGAGUUGGAAGGACUCUCGCAUUAGGUUUAAUUUCCGUUAUUAAAGUCGAAGCAUCCCAAUGACCAUUCCUUGGGAAAUUGCUUAGGGUUACGAACUGACGGCGCGAUCUGGUGAGAUUGGGGGAGAUAUUACGGAUCUGGUGAGAUUGGGGGAGAUAUUACGGAGUGGAGGGACGUAGACAGCGCCGUAGUGUGUCGAGGUGGGGCGGUGGUGCCCGGGUGGUAAGGAGAGCUUAGGUCUGAUGGAGAAGAGGGCUUAUCCGAAAGUGCUAUGGAGUGAAUUGAAAAUUUUAAAAACUUCAUUUUGGUGCUUAUAAAAAAUUCGGGGUGAUUUUGUAAUUCUUGAAAUUAUGACAAAGGGUAUUUAAGUAUUUUACGGUCAAAAAACGCACCUCCAGUUGCACAAUCCGCGCGUGCAUUGCACGAUUCGCUGUUAGGGGGCUUAAUGCCUUUGAAUAAAUUUCAUAGGGGGGUUUUUGCUAAUUUUUUUAACAUGGGGACUUUUUCGACAAUUAGAGAUUACACAAGGGAGGUUCUUGCAAAAAACCCAAAUCAUAGAAGAAUCCUAAAAUUACAUAAAGGAAAACUGGAACUGCUACCACAUUUAAAUCUGAAAUGAAAUUCAAUCUUCAAUAUAUAUUGAGGGCUACAAGAAAAGUUGAUCGAUACUAAACCAAACACGAAAACGACAUUCUCAAAUAUAUAAUCAUAUAAAUAGCCAAUUCUGUUUGUCUUUCUCUUUUACCUUAAUCAACUAUACAUUAUGAAAACAAUUGCACUUCCAUCUAAAGCAAAAGAGAUUGAAUUCACCAAAAGUCCACAAUUUAUUAUUAAAACCCUAUAUUUUCUAAAUCAUCAUACUUGUAUAGUUUAUACCACAAAACAACUGUAUGUCACAUACCAGAAUUAAUAGUGGCCGUGUGUGAACCGAAAAUAAAAUAUAAAUUCUUAAAUGGGCUAAAGAGCAUUGUAAUUUAGAAAAGGUUAAAAACGAUCAUCAUCCGUUUCCUUUAGAGAAAGAGUAGGCAAAUCAGCAGCAGAUUAAUUGAAAUAAUUUAGGGCUUUUUGCAAAGAAAAAAUAAAUAAAUUAAAAUUUGGAGAAAUCUAGAAAUUGAAAGUUAGAGAUACCUUCAUCGCUCGUAAAAAAAGAGAGAAACAAAAACAUAUUGACACCAGGUCGAUGGUGAACAGAGAGAUGACAGUCUUCAAACAUUGGUUCACGGAUUUGUGUCGCCUAUAAGGAGGGGUUCUGAUUGCGUAAGAGAAAAAACCCAAGAGAUGGCCGCAACGACAGAAUGACAGCUUCCGAGGGGUUUUCUGAUCGGGAAAUGCAGUUUGAAAGAUAAAAGUGAGCCAAGGAGUAGAGAUCUGUUUGUGAAAAAAACUUUGGCUGAGUAUUUUAAAAGUAAAACCCGUGCGCGCCAAUGUUAUAGCGUUUUCUAUUAUUUACUAUUAUUUUAUAUAAAAAAAAAUAGCUAAUAUAGCAUUUCCCUUAAAAACGCUAUAAUGAAGUGCUAUCAAUACUUACUUUUCUUGUAGUCUCUAAGCACUAGCUAAACUUUCUUGGAGACAACACCUUCUUGUGUGACUAUAGUUUCAAGUCAAAACCCUUUAAGUUCAGUACAUUGGUUACGUUGAUCAUCGCUGUAUUUCUGGCAUGAUUCUUUGACAUCUAAUUCUUAUACCCGCUACACCGUUGUUGAGAAUUUUGUUUUAAAGAAUUCAAAAGAGAAAAUUUCAAAGAAAGAUUUUCUUUAGUUGAUAGUGAUUCUAUUUUAUUAACAAAAUAUUAAUAUACAUUAUAAGUUUGUAUUUUCAGUUUGACUACACGUCUUGUCUUUGAAAACAAAUUGAAAUUGUUACAAUUAAUUUAGAAUUUAUUAGUAUAAUUUAAACUUUGAAAUUACAUAAUGAGUUUAGACUUUAGAGUUUUUAGGUUUUUUCCUUUCUAUUUUUUUACCAGAUUAAAUCUUUAUUUGCUUUUACGGAUUUGAUUAGCGAAAUGCAAUGUUCUAGAAAAAAGAUUUUUGUUUAUUUUAUGUAUUUUUUUUUUUGUUAUAGCUUGCAAUAAUAAAAAUAUAGUUGUUAUUAUACUUUAUUUAUACUAAUUAUAAUUUUGCAUAUCAUUCAGCUUUACAACAUAUUUUUAGUUUCAAUAUCUAAUAAAGUAUUUUCUUUUUUGGUAUUUGGCAAAUUUGAUUUUUGGUUUGCUAUUAUUUUCAUCACUUACACUAAGUAUUGAUUUGUAAAAAAAAAUUUUUAGAUAAAUAUUAACUUAAUUGCUUUUUUAUCAUUAAAAUUUGUAUGAAAUAUUAAUUUAAAAAAUAGUUACAAAACAAAUUUUGAUUUCGUUCGUAAGAAAAAUAUGAUGGUAUAUUUAUGCAAUGGAAAGUAAGUUUCUUCAGGUUUUCUUAUUGAAAAGUAUAACAUAUAUACAUAUAAAUAAAUGAAAAUGUUAAUUCCACCGACCCCACCCCCCAUUUUGGUGUCAUUGAUAGGGUUGAAGAUUGGAACAUUUUUUUUCUUUCUAUUUUCACCUAUUCAAAUCCAAAAAUCAAAUCAGGAACAACAGUUUUCAACAUGAAUUCUAAAAUUCCGCUUUUUUAUUUUCCAAAAUUAUUUGGAUCAGAAUUAAAAUAUUUAUGAGAUUCCAAUUUUCGGAUUUUAAGUUCCGAAAUCAGAAAAAAAUAAUCCGAAUACUACACUCCAAAUAUCGAGGAUCGAGUUUCCCUCCAAAAUUGUCCAAUCCAUCGGCCACACCAUCUACUUUAUUUUUUUAUCUACUUAUUUUUAUAAAGAAGAUAUCAAUUUAUGCAACCAACCAAUGAAUUACCUGUUAUAGCAGGUCAUAGAACCAAAACUCUCGUAAUUUUAUAACGUAUAGGCCUAAAAUGUUAAUUUUAAAAUGGGGUGGACUAAAUACCGACUUAAAAUCCCAUUUUGCCUUCAAUCUUAUUCUUAGUUUAUUUUGGUUUCUUUCUAUAUGUUGGGCUAAAUACCUAACACGCAAUUGCACGUAUCGCAAACAAGUAGUAAAAGUGGACUCGUGAGAGUCGGAUGUCGAUCCCACAGGAAAUACUCAAAUUAUCUAAUCCUAAGUACCAAAUUCUAACAAUUAUGAUUUUUAUCCAGCCUACGCAAGGUUGUGAAAUUUAAUCAACUAAAUAAUUAAACUAAUUAUGAAAGCAAAUAGACACGAGAAAAUAUCAAGUAAAAACGGACCUAGGAUUUCAUCUUCCGCCUAUGCAAGAAUUGCUCACCCAAAACCCCUCAAUUAUGAAAUAUAUGAUUCCUGAUUAUUAACCCGAGACACUAAUUUACUCAUAACCCGCUGUCGUGUGUAUUAUGAGUCUAUUAUUCAUAAAAGGUUCACUAUAUGUCUAUGAAAACCACUUAUGAAUAAAGCAUUAACUAACAAGUCUCGUAAAUGGCUACCUAAGGUGAUAUUUGUAUGUCUACGACACCAUAUGCAAUUGACACACUCAUCCGGUGAAAACUACUCGAAGGUUCUUUUACUUACCGUCUAAUUAUAAAAAUAGUUCUGUCGAGUCAAUCCCAAUAAUCACAGAUAAAGCACAUAAAUUGAUCAGGUUCAUGCACUAACAAUCAUAACAAGUAGAAGAAAUAAUCAUAAAAUCAUAAUUGCAUAAUCUCAAGAAAACGGGUUCACCAUCCCCACUUAGGGUUCCAACAAAAUCCUAGAUUAAAAACUUAGCUACGCAUGUUCGCUACGAAAAACAUCAUAAAAUUAUUUAAAAUAAAUAGAUUACGAAAAGAUAGAUGAAAGAAGAAUUGUGAUGAAGAUUUGUCAAUUCUCCGUCUUCGAUUCUCCGUUCUCUUGCCCCUCUUUCUCCAAGAUUUGUGUUUCAAAGUCCUUUAAUUCGUGCUUGGUUUGCCUUUAAAUAGAUGUCCCAACUUGGUAGAAGAUUUUAGGUUUCCUUGUGUGAUUAAAACUCCAAAAUUGUCUCCAGCGUGUAUUCACACGUGCCGCGCGAGAAUCAGUGCAAUUCUCACACGGCCGCUCGAGAAUCACCGAAACCUUCUGCCCUCAUUCUGCAGUUCGCGCGGUNNNNNNNNNNNNNNNNNNNNNNNNNNNNNNNNNNNNNNNNNNNNNNNNNNNNNNNNNNNNNNNNNNNNNNNNNNNNNNNNNNNNNNNNNNNNNNNNNNNNNNNNNNNNNNNCGAACUCCCAAAUCGUCAAGUUGUACCUAAAAUACAAUAAACCACUCAUUAAGCAUCAUUAAAUCAUUAAAAGUAUACAAAAAUCCUCGUAAGAAAGUAUACAUUGAGUGUAAAAUAUACACUCAACACACCCCCAAACUUGAACUUUUGCUUGUCCUCAAGCAAAAACUAGCAACCUUCAAAGCAACACUUUCAACAAAUGCCUCUCAUCACAUAGAUUAAUGGUCAACUUCACGUUUUCAGAACUUGCAAUUAUCAUGACAAUUCUUAAAAAAAUUACAAGCUCGUAAUUCAAAGAUACAUAUUCACUCAUCCUUGCUAAAAACCACAAACCAUGCUAUCGCUUCAAGUAUCCCAUAUUUGUAAAUUAAAAAUGGAGAAAACUUAUACUUACAUAAUAAUAUUCAACUCCAAAGACUCACCAAAUUUCUUUACUCGGCUAGUAUCAAAUAAUUGAGCUAUUGGGAUCAUUGGGACUUUUUGGCUUUCAAAUGUUGGACUUUUGGUACAAGGUAGAAAAUAUGGGUAAAAGUGACUACUCUUCUCCUUUCAUCUCACAAUUAGUCACUAAGAGUUGCACUUGACGGAAUUUUUAACUCUCGAUCUUGACUAGAGGUGUUUUUCGCUAAGAUUUAGCUUUUGGAAUUAUUACUUCACCUCGAAGGACAUAUUACCUAACUCGAUUUGUUUAAGAGUUCAAAAGUCUCAACUUUUGCUCUUAACAUGAUGGUUCGAGUUGUUACUUUAAAAUCUUUCUGAAGUCCUUUAUUCCCCUUCUAUUUUUCUUCUUCUUCUUCUUUAUUUUUUUUCUUUAUUUUUUUUUCAACCAAGCUCCAAGGGAUAAUUCAUCAAGAAACCACCAUCUAAUCUACCCACUUUAUUUCGGCUAAAAGAAAGAACACCGUUUCUCCAAGGCUCAAUCAAGGUUCGAAUGACAAAAAUUUAAAGGUAGGCUUGAAAGGCUCAAACGGUUCAAAAAUGGCCCAAAUCAGUUCCCAAAUUGCUCAACAAUUUAAUAUUUCACUUUGUAAAUUCAUAAGGCAAGUUCUAAAACCGAAUAGCAUAUGAUAUAGCAUAAAUUAAAUCCACGUUUUAAAACACAAAACUUUCAACCAAAGCAAGGCAUAAUUCGUGAUUCCUAACAAUGACUCCUUCCUACGACACUUUAAAUAAAAAGCUCACCAAAAUUCAAUCACAAUCAAGAUAAAGCAAGCAAUUUCAUCAUUAAACAUCAACCAUCUUUCAUCAUCAGGAUUCAUCGAAGCAUUUAUCUCAACACUUUUUUUUUUCUUUUUUCGAAAGCAAUAAAUAAACUAAAACAACUAAACUAAAACAAAAAUCCUAAUGCAUGCAAACUAAAAAAAUUAAAGCACAUAAAAACAAGUAAUUUUCCACCCCCAAACUUAAAAUUUACAUUGCCCUCAAUGUAAUUAGCACGAAGUUUAAGGAUAGAAUACACUUGACUUAGUCGUCUUGGCCAUCUCCGGGUUGCUCUCCACCCUCGCCUUUAUUAUGCGUCUGUUGCGUUUCGCACGGCCGUAUGAGAUUUUGAAUUGUUUUCCGCACGGCCGUGCGAAUUGCCAAAAUUGGGCAGUAGCUGUCUGUUUCUCGCACGUCCGUAUGAGAUUUCAGUAUGUUUUUCGCGCGGCCGUGCGCAAGGCCAAAAUUGGGCAGUAGCUUCCAGAUUUUUCACACGGCCGUGUGAAAUUUAGCCUUGUUUUGGGACGGCCGUAUGAGCUCCAGAGUUGCAAUUUCUUGACCUGAAAAUUAAAACUAUGCUUAAACUAUUAUCUUGCAUGCUUAUAAAAAUAAAUUAAAUAAAACAAAAAAAAUAAAUAAAAAAACGAAAAUCUCGGGUUGCCUCCCGAGAAGCGCUAAGUUUACAGUCUUCAGCCAGACUUUGUCUGCUUCUUUGUUCAAGCUAAAGUGACCGAAGUCACUUGACCAUCUUUACUCGCUUCCAACAAAGGCUUGUUUGGUUCUUUAGGUGGCCACAUCCUCCUUGCACGUUCAUCGUCGUUAACACCCCAACUCUUUUGACUAUCUCUCGGAGGAGGUGUUGAAAUUGAGUCCACAAAAUACACUUGCUCCUUCCGAUUCCUUUUUCCGCCAUCAUCUCCUGCACUCAAAGAUGCUUUCCCAUGGUCCAAGAUCGAAACAUCAAAUUUUUCAUGAUUUGUAAAAUCCAUAAGCUCAAUAGUAAAACACUCAUUAUUAUCACAUGGAUUUUUAUUAGCACAAAAAACAUUAUAUUUGAUCGUUUCAUCAUGCACUGUCAUUGUAAGAUCACCACUAGCACAAUAAAUUAGAGUUUUCGACGUGGCUAAAAACGGUCUCCUUAAAAUAAGAGGUAUCUCCCUAUCUUCAUCUAUAUCAAGUAUAAAGAAAUCAUCAGGGAAGAUAAAUUUGUUCACUUUUACUAGCACAUUCUCUAAAAUACCUUUUGGGUAAACUAAAGACCUAUCGGCUAAUUGAAGAGUUAUAGCCGUCGGUUCAAUCUCACCUAACCCAAGAUUUUUAUAAGUGGAAUAAGACAUAAGAUUAAUGCUAGCGCCUAAAUCAAUGAGCGAUCUAAAAUUUUUACCUCCUAUAGUACAAGGAAUAGUGAACUUACCUGGAUCGCCGAGUUUUUGUGGAAGGGGCCGUGUAAGAAUUGCACUGCAUUGCUCCGUGAGUUAGAUCAUCUCGUUCCCUUGCAAUUUCUUCCUCUUUGUCACGAGAUCCUUGAAGAAUUUCACCCACUUUGGCAUCUUUUGAAGGGCUUCGAUAAACGGGAUAUUUAUGUGAAUUUCCUUCAACUUGUCCAAAAAUCCUUGGUAUUCGGCAUCGAGCUUCUUCUUGAGAAACGUUUGAGGAUAUGGAAUUGGAGGGGCACUUGAAAUCACUGUUGACGGUGGUUCUUCUUGAGUUGUUUCUUUUUCCUCAAUCACUCUUGGCUUCUCGAUUACCGCGCUUCUCUUCUCUUUUCUUGGGGCUUCCUCCAAUUGUCUCCCAUUCCUUAAACUUACAGCGUUGCACUGCUCCAUGUUGCUCUUCCGAGGAUCUUCCGUAUUCGACGGCAGUGCUCCCGAUGGCCUCGCGUUUAGCUAGGUUGCAAGUUGACCCAUCUGUGUUUCCAAAUUUCAAAUGGAAGCUUGAGUCGAUGUCAUGAAUUGUGCUAAGAUAUUUGCGAGAUCUCCACCUUGAGGUGGGGCUUGAGGCGGAUUUUGGAAUCCGGGAGCUGGCCGUGAAUAACUAGGAGGUUGACCUUGAGGUGGUGCUUGCCUUUAUCCUUGCUGAUUUCCUCCCCAUCCAAAGUUGGGGUGAUCUUUCCAUCCCGGAUUAUAGGUGUUGGAGUACGGGUUCCUCUGUUGUCGGUUGGUGUCAUUCACGUAAUUUAGAGACUCCGUUUCUUCUAAGCACUGGUCGGGACCUUGGACUGCAUGGACUUGCUGAGUCUGCAAAGUUGCUACUUGCUUUGAUAGCUUUUCUAACUGGGCAGUGAUUGCGGUGACCCCGUCUAACUCCAAAAUUCCUCCCGUCUUAAUGGCUCCGCUAUUUGAACAAUCCGAUGCCCGCAUGUAUUUAUUUCUAGCGAUUCGCUCCAAAAGUUCGUAUGCUUCGUCAUAGGUCAAACUCAUGAACAUUCCUCCAGCUGCAGAAUCGAGCACAAUCCUUGAAUUAUCUUGCAAUCCAUCGUAGAAUAUUUGCAGCUGGCGCCACUCUUGAAGUCCGUGAUUCGGGCAUCUCCGAAUUAAUUGUUUGAACCGCUCCCACGUCUCGAAUAACGCUUCACCGGCUUCUUGUAUGAAAUUUUGCAUUUCUCUCCGGAUUCUUUCAGUUUUUGUUGGGGAGUUAUAUGUGUUCAUGAAGAGUUGUGCUAGCUGGGGCCAAGACGAGAUGGAGUGCGGUGCACGAGUUUGAACAGGCGGAGUUGCAGUGCUUCAGGAGAUACUCCGUUCAUCUUAUGCGAAUCACACGUUUCGAGAAAGUUCACCAACUGGAGAUGCGGAUCUUCAUGAGCUAAUCCGCUGAAAAACCCAUUGUUUUGGAGCAUAGUAAGGAGUCCCGCUCUAAUUUCGAAAUUAUUGGCUUCAAUGGGGGGCUGCUAGAUGCUUGAUUGAAACCAAUUGAGUAUCGGAACGGUAUACUCAUGCAAUGCUCGUUGACGAGGUGUGGAUUAAUGAGCUGCUGUUGCUCUUGCUCGUUGACGAUAUUUCCUGCCGCAUUUAGUAAGCGUCCUUGGUCAUCUCCCCUACGAUUAUUUUCUUCUUCCAUUGUUGCGGGAACGUUUUGAGCUAACCGUUUAUUUCUCCUGGCGUGCCAAAACGUUCGCUCAAUUUCGGGAUCAAAAGGUAGCAAGUUCGUGUCGUGUCCUCUCGCAUAAAAAGUACCUAAAACAAAAAUAAUAAAAAUAAAAUAAGCAAAUAGAAUAAUUAAAUAAAAUAAAUAAAAAACGGCUGAAGUAAGAAAAAUUGCUCAAAUUUAAUAUUAGGAUAAAUAGAUAAUUUAGCUGUAUUCCCCAGCAACGGCGCCAAAAACUUGUUGGGCUAAAUACCUAACACGCAAGUGCACGUAUCACAAACAAGUAGUACAAGUGGACCCGUGAGAGUCGGAUGUCGAUCCCACAGGGAAUACUCAAAUUAUCUAAUCCUAAGUACCAAAUUCUAACAAUUAUGAUUUUUAUCCAGCCUACGCAAGGUUGUGAAAUUUAAUCAACUAAAUAAUUAAACUAAUUAUGAAAGCAAAUAAACACGAGAAAAUAUCAAGUAAAAACGGACCUAGGAUUUCAUCUUCCGCCUAUGCAAGAAUUGCUCACCCAAAACCCCUCAAUUAUGAAAUAUAUGAUUCCUGAUUAUUAACCCGAGACACUAAUUUACUCAUAACCCGCUGUCGUGUGUAUUAUGAGUCUAUUAUUCAUAAACGGUUCACUAUAUGUCUAUGCAAACCAAUUAUGAAUAAAGCAUUAACUAACAAGUCUCGUAAAUGGCUACCUAAGGUGAUAUCUGUAUGUCUACGACACCACAUGCAAUUGACACACUCAUCCGGUGAAAACUACUCGAAGGUUCUUUUACUUACCGUCUAGUUAUCAAAAUAGCUCUGUCGAGUCAAUCCCAAUAAUCACAUAUAAAGCACAUAAAUUGAUUAGGUUCAUGCACUGACAAUCAUAACAAGUAGAAGAAAUAAUCAUAAAAUCAUAAUUGCAUAAUCUCAAGAAAACGGGUUCACCAUCCCCGCAUAGGGUUCCAACAAAAUCCUAGAUUAAAAACUUAGCUACGCAUGUUCGCUACGAAAAACAGCAUAAAAAUAUUAAAAAUAAAUAGAUUAAGAAAAGAUAGAUGAAAGAAGAAUUGUGAUGAAGAUUUGUCAAUUCUCCGUCUUCGAUUCUCCGUUCUCUUGCUCGUCUUUCUCCAAGAUUGUGUUCCAAAGUCCUUUAAUUCGUGCUCGGUUUGCCUUUAAAUAGAUGUCCCAACUUGGUAGAAGAUUUUAGGUUUCCUUGUGUGAUUAAAACUCCAAAAUUGUCUCCAGCGUGUUUUCACACGGCCGCGCGAGAAUCAGUGCAAUUCUCACACGGCCGUGCGAGAAUCGCCGAAACCUUCUGCCCUCAUUUUGCAGUUGGCGCGGCCGCGCCAAAAAUAGGCUAAAUUUGGCAUGGCCGCGCCGGCCAAUUUUGACCUUUUUGGUUCGUUUCGUCCUUCGAACUCCCAAAUCGUCAAGUUGUACCUAAAAUACAAUAAACCACUCAUUAAGCAUCAUUAAAUCAAUAAAAGUAUACAAAAAUCCUCGUAAGAAAGUAUACAUUGAGUGUAAAAUAUAUACACUCAACACUAUACCUCACCAGUCACCACCAUCGCCGAUAAACAUUUAAACGACAUUUCAAUAAUUCAUUAAAAUUCAAUUUUUAAUUGAAAAAAUAAUAAAAAAAUAUUUAUUCCACUAAAAAUGAUCUUUUCAACUCUCAGUUAUAUAUUCCCAAAAUUAAUAAUUUAUGUAGAUUAAUUUUAAUAAAAGGCUAAUUUGUUAGACCCGUAAACUCAAAUUGUCUUUAAGUUAGGAUAUACCAACUUUUGCAAUUUGUUAAAAAAAUGUGUUCUUCAGACUCCCCACACUCCGUCAGAUUCCAACCCCUUUCAAUUUCGUCAAAUCAAUCCCAUCCCUACUCCCCGCCGAUGUCAUCGUUGAAAAGUUCUGUCACACAACCACACACACAUAAUCACACACCUACAUAUGCACAUACACAAUCACACAUACGCACACACAUACGACUUUGGUUACACUCAUUCAUCUCCGUUGUAACCUAAUCAUCGUAGAAAUCAAACCGAAAAAAUAUUAAGAGUUGUUUGGUGAUGAUGAUAGUAAUGUUGGUGGGAUGUACGGACCCGAAAUUUAAUUUUUUUCUUCAGCUUAUUUAAGUAAGCUGUGUGACUAUACUACGCAAAUAAGGUAUGUGAGUUGUGUAUAUGCUGUGGAAAACAUCGUAUUCUUAUUUUAGUUUUUUCGUCACUGUAUUUUGACUCAAUUGUUGGAAUAAAAUAUAGUAAAAAAUAAUAUGGUUGGGUAAAAGUUUACGGGGGUUCAGGGGCAGCGCCCCCGAAUUUUUUUAAUACUAUACACAUUAAAUAAUAAAAAUAUGUAAUAUUUUCAAAUUUAAAGGGAUUAUUUUAUAAAUUUUGGGCUAAUUUUUGAAAUAUUUAGACAUAAAUUAAAAUUGGUGAAAACAUUAAAGGAGUGGUAAAAAUAUUAAAGUUGCAAGUGACAAAAUGUGUAUUUCAUUAACAUAUUUUGAAUAUUCAAUAUAUAUAUAAAAAAAAACUCACAGACCUAAAUUUAGAAAACAAUUGAAAUAAUACAUAUAUAAAACAUUAAAAAAAUUGGAAUAAUUUAGAUAAUAUAAAAUAUUAAAGGAAUGAUAAAUAAAUUAAAGUUUCAAAUAGUAAAAUAUAUGUUUUAUUAGGAGAUUUUGAUUUUUUGCGUGCUAAAUCCUACACUAAAAAUUACUAAAUCACGCACAUAAAUAAAAAUACCAAUUGUCUCUAUACGCUCUAUUUUCUCUAACAUCUUUCUAUGAUUUCAAAUUAACAAAUUAAAAAAUAAUUGAGAUGAAUAUAUAUAUAUAUAUAUAUAUAUAUAUAUAUAUAUAUAUAUAUAUAUAUAUAUAUAUAUAUAUAUAUAUUUUCUUACCACAACCUACGGCCCCACCCAGCCCCAGCCCCAACCCCAAUACACCACUCACACCCCGUGUCUGCCCAUGGCAGGAGCACCUUCUUCCCUCACCGACCACAACGACCCAAUCUCACCGACGAUCACUCCAGACGGCGACCCAAUCCACCGGCUCCACACAACUUCUUCAUUAAAAUUUAUUUUCCCGAAAAAAUCACCGUAACAUAAAAAUUGAUGUUAAUUCGAACAUAAAAUAAAAUUAAUAGGUAAAGAUAAAAUGAUUACUUUGAUUGUAGAGUAAAUUUGUGAAGAUUUUCUUCAAGUCCAAAUUAUGAUGUUUUUAUGCAAAUAUCAACGAAAAAGAAAAAUUGUGUUGGAGUGGUUUUGAGAAACGUUUUUGGGCUACUUUGUUCUUAGAGAGAUAAAAUAAUUUAAUUAUGUGUAUGAUCUAGUAAUUUUCAUGUGGGAUUUAGCAUUUCAGUAUGAAAAAAUACCCUCAUGCAUAUUCAAAAAAAUUGAAAACAAUUCAAAUAUUGUAUGUAAUGGAUAUUAAAUCUUGUACGGGUAAAAACUUUCAACCAAUUAAGUACAAGCCAAUUUUGAAAGUUAAGUAAUAUACAGAAAAAAUAGAAUUUAAAAAGGAAUAUAUACAGAAAAAUUAGAAAAAAAAAAAAAAAAAACCCAACAAAAUAGAGGGGUCUUGUCUCUACAGGGUUGAGAACGCUGGACCUCUUUGGAAUUAAAGAGAGAACUCUACCAGUUCAGCUAAAACAUUACACGUCAAAAUUACACAUUUAAACUUAUAUAUUAGGUAAAUACAUAGGGAAUAAUUUUUUUUAAAAAUCAAGGGCGUGCAGUUGCACGCCCUUGGACCACACUAGAUACGCCAAUGUGCCCGGGUGACCAUGUAUUCUACGAUGCCUCAGUUAUAUGGGGUUUGAUCGGGCCCGAAAGAAUAUUCGGAGACCUCGGUUACUACUCCGCCAUAAAUUGGUC
rnacentral:lncRNA from 1 species